rnacentral:misc_RNA from 1 species
GAUGAAGAACGUAGCGAAAUGCGAUAAGUAGUGUGAAUUGCAGAAUUCAGUGAAUCAUCGAAUCUUUGAACGCACAUUGCGCCCCUUGGUAUUCCAUGGGGCAUGCCUGUUCGAGCGUCAUUUGUACCUUCAAGCUCUGCUUGGUGUUGGGUGUUUGUCUCGCCUCUGCGUGUAGACUCGCCUUAAAACAAUUGGCAGCCGGCGUAUUGAUUUCGGAGCGCAGUACAUCUCGCGCUUUGCACUCAUAACGACGACGUCCAAAAGUACAUUUUUACACUCUUGACCUCGGAUCAGGUAGGGAUACCCGCUGAACUUAAGCAUAUCAAUAGCGGAGGA